GCAGAGUAGAUAUUUGUGCGUGAAGUGUCAGUCGGACGGGGAGUUGCCGCUGAACGAAAAGUACUAUGCUUGCGGUACAAAUGUCGCAUCCCGCUGC
rnacentral:ncRNA from 1 species